rnacentral:rRNA from 1 species
CCUACGGGGUGCUGCAGUGGGGAAUAUUGGACAAUGGGCGAAAGCCUGAUCCAGCCAUGCCGCGUGUGUGAAGAAGGCCUUCGGGUUGUAAAGCACUUUCAGUGGGGAAGAAAGCCUUGGGGCUAAUACCCUCGAGGAAGGACAUCACCCACAGAAGAAGCACCGGCUAACUCCGUGCCAGCAGCCGCGGUAAUACGGAGGGUGCGAGCGUUAAUCGGAAUUACUGGGCGUAAAGCGCGCGUAGGCGGUCUGAUCAGCCGGUUGUGAAAGCCCCGGGCUCAACCUGGGAACGGCAUCCGGAACUGUCAGGCUAGAGUGCAGGAGAGGAAGGUAGAAUUCCCGGUGUAGCGGUGAAAUGCGUAGAGAUCGGGAGGAAUACCAGUGGCGAAGGCGGCCUUCUGGACUGACACUGACGCUGAGGUGCGAAAGCGUGGGUAGCAAACAGGAUUAGAUACCCUUGUAGUC